AUGAACGCUGGCGGCGUGCCUAAUACAUGCAAGUCGAGCGAACAGACGAGGAGCUUGCUCCUCUGACGUUAGCGGCGGACGGGUGAGUAACACGUGGAUAACCUACCUAUAAGACUGGGAUAACUUCGGGAAACCGGAGCUAAUACCGGAUAACAUGUUGAAUCGCAUGGUUCAACAGUGAAAGACGGUUUUGCUGUCACUUAUAGAUGGAUCCGCGUCGCAUUAGCUAGUUGGUAAGGUAACGGCUUACCAAGGCAACGAUGCGUAGCCGACCUGAGAGGGUGAUCGGCCACACUGGAACUGAGACACGGUCCAGACUCCUACGGGAGGCAGCAGUAGGGAAUCUUCCGCAAUGGGCGAAAGCCUGACGGAGCAACGCCGCGUGAGUGAAGAAGGUCUUCGGAUCGUAAAACUCUGUUAUUAGGGAAGAACAAAUGUGUAAGUAACUAUGCACGUCUUGACGGUACCUAAUCAGAAAGCCACGGCUAACUACGUG
rnacentral:rRNA from 1 species